UGAUGUGUUUACAGGCAGAAAAAAGCAUGGCAAAUUCUUGUAGGGGUUUGUUAUUGUUAUUGGGAUACAUAUGCAGAGUUUGAAGAAAAGAAUGGAAAGAAGACAUAUUUCCUCUUCUGAAGUGUCUGAUUGAUUCUGACUUCGAUACUAGUAUCUGAGAGGAAGGCUGGCAAAACCUCUUUGAAGGCAAUGCACACGUUGUUGGCAGCAGCCUGAAUUGCAAACGUGUUCAAAGCUAGUCUUCCAUAGUCAUCAUCUGUUGUGAUGACACCAAUCCAGUUCCAUCCAGAUUGUUGAAUCAGGUGGGCCAUUGCUUUAGUUUGGUAGAAGUCACUGGGCACAGUCCGUAAAAAUGAAGGAAAGCGGAUUUUGUCACUCAGGAUUUCUGCCGUGGAUUCAUAACUCACCUGGAAGCAGAUAGAAUCUGUGUUAUGUUUGUGGGGCACAGGAGCCGGUUAUGCCAGAGCUUGAAGAAAUGCUGAUAUUUCAAAGCUGUGGAGAAACAAGCAUUUUCUGAAACAAGACGUGACUAAUCUAUUGAUAUGGGAUAGCUCACCUCACCCACACCUCUGCCCUUUGACGGAUAAUUUCUGGAUGAGUCCAGGUGAUUUCAUGAAAAAUAUGAACUUUAUUUGAAAACAAC